ACGGGCGCAAAGAAAGGGGGGAAAGGAAGCUUUGUUGCCGCCAUUUCACGUGAAGGCAACGCGGAGGCUGCGACGUCCAGAACCAAACAACAACAACAAGAAGUGCCCAGAGUGAGAUUUAAAUCCUCCGCCCGGAGCCUCUGAAGCGAAGACACCCGGCGUGUUUAACUGUUGGGCCGGAUUCGGUUUGAAGGGGCCGGUCGUGCUGCUCGGAGGAGAACAGGAUGAGCUACGGAAGGCCGCCGCCAGACGUGGAGGGGAUGACCUCCCUCAAAGUGGACAACCUCACCUACCGCACGUCCCCGGAGACCCUGCGCCGGGUGUUCGAGAAGUACGGCCGCGUGGGGGACGUGUACAUCCCGCGGGAUCGGUACACCAAGGAGAGCCGCGGCUUCGCCUUCGUGCGGUUCCUCGACAAGCGCGACGCCGAGGACGCCAUGGACGCGAUGGACGGCGCGCUGCUCGACGGGCGGGAGCUUCGGGUGCAGAUGGCCCGCUACGGGCGACCGCCGGACUCCAUGUACAGCCGGAGAGGAGCCCCGCCACGCAGAUACGGAGGCCGCUCAGACAGCCCCCGGCGCCGCAGACGUAGCCGCAGCCGGUCCAGGAGCAGGAGCCGCUCCCGAUCCAGGAGCCGCCAUCACUACAGCCGGUCCAGGUCCCGCUCCUACUCCAGAUCCAGGUCGAGGUCCAAGUCCAAGUCAAGAACCCCGAGGAGGAGCAAGUCAAAGUCCCCCUCCAGGUCUCGCUCCCGCUCCAGAUCCAAGUCAAGGAGUCGAACCCCACCUUCCAACAGAGGGUCCAAAUCCAGGUCCAGGUCCAAAUCCAAGAGUAGGCCUAAAUCACCAGAGGACAACGAAGCUGAGCCGUAACUCCAACAUGGACGCAAUAUUACGCUGCGGAGUCCUGUUUGCAAAGAGAGGAGGAGGAGGAGGAGAUGGGGGUGUGGCAGUGUGAGAGCAGUUAGUGUGUGACCCGCCCAUGUGACCUGCCUGUUGCUGAGAGCGAUGGCAGUUGCUAAGGAGCAGGUCACCAAGGCAACGGUGGUUGCUAUGGAGCAGGUCGUCAUGGCGGUGGUUCGGGCUGUCAGUUGGUGUAUGAGGUGGUGUGGUGAGAUCUCAGAUGACCGAGCCUUUGCAGAGGACACCAGGAAGAGCCUCACAUUGAGCAAGGGGACUCCAUUAUUACCACUGAACGCAGACUGAAAGGUUAUUGGAGCUUGGUCUAAAAUGUUUUAAAUGUUUCAUUUGACAUAAUUUACUUAAAUUCUGUAACUUUGUCGUCAUUUGUAAAGUUGAGCACAUUGAAAGGGAUAUGGAAGGUGCCCCCUCCCCAUCAAAUUGGGUUUUUUUCCUUUUAAUUUUGGUUGAAUUUGUACCUGUCAAUAAAUUCCUUCUACUUUAAUACAACCCCUUGUUUAGCAAUUUUCCCAGAUGGAUAUGAAGUUGAUGUAGAAUAAGUGUUUAUGUUGGAUGUCAUCCCAUUCUUUUUGGGGGGAAAUGGCUUAUUUGUACACUCAGUGACAAAAACAAAAUUUAAAAAUUUCACAGUGCCACUCAAUGUGUGACUUGAUAAUCCGGCAGCAUAGCAUUUUCUUUUCUGUCCAAUUUUUUUUUUUUUUUCUCUGUCUGGUUAAAGUAUUUCCUAUGACUCUAACCCUCUUUCUUGUGUAUCUUUUGUGCACUAGGCGCAGUUGUGUAGCAGUUGAGUAAUGCUGGUUAGCUGUUAAGAUGCGGUGCAGUGCGGUGGUGACAUGGUGUGGCGUGUUGCGGUGCUGAGUGCCCGGCGCUGUUCCGGGGCUCGACCCUCCGCUGCCGUUUGCCGGUUUGUAAGCUCACAGGUGUGGCAGAUCAUCCAUCCUCUCCUGUCUUGUGACUUCUUCCCUCCAUGUGCUGUACAGAUUCUCUUCUUCCCUUUUUCUCUUUAUCCUCCCUCCUUUCCUUCCCUCCCCCUCUGUGGUUUACCCACUGUUGAAAACUAGCCCUGCUCGCUUUUUGAAUUUGGGUCCAGUGUGACUCCUGUUGAAGGGUUUAAAGUGCAGUUCAAACUGCUCAAUGAAUAAUUUGUGUAUUGCAUUCCUCUGUGAACCUUUCAAACGUCUUGUAAUUGCUUCAGGUGAAUGCUAAUAAACAUUUUUUUUGUUGUAAA